UACGUAGGGGGCAAGCGUUGUCCGGAUUUAUUGGGCGUAAAGCGCGUGUAGGCGGCCCGUUAAGUCCGCUGUAAAAGUCCAGGGCUCAACCCUGGAAGGCCGGUGGAUACUGUCGGGCUCGAGUCCGGAAGAGGCGAGUGGAAUUCCUGGUGUAGCGGUGAAAUGCGCAGAUAUCAGGAGGAACACCAAUGGCGAAGGCAGCUCGCUGGGACGGUACUGACGCUGAGACGCGAAAGCGUGGGGAGCAAGCAGG
rnacentral:rRNA from 1 species